rnacentral:rRNA from 1 species
UUUUUAUUGAGAGUUUGAUCCUGGCUCAGGACGAACGCUGGCGGCGUGCCUAACACAUGCAAGUCGAGCGAUGAAGUUU